rnacentral:lncRNA from 1 species
CUGUGCCUAUACAGUUUUAAAAAUAUGUAAAUUAUUACUAUGUGUUUUAUAAAUAUAUGCCACACAUAGGUGGUUGUAAUAUUUAAGUAUGUUUGGGGAUAACAAACAUUGAAGUCAGAAUAAUCAUUACCCCCGGAGAGAGAGGGAGGAGGAGAAAUGACUUGGCAGAAAUUCAAGGAGAGAUUCAACUCCAUCUGAAAUAUUUUCUUAUCUAAAAAGAAAUCUGAAGCAAACAUAAGCAUGGUCUGAUUUGGUAAAGUUCAGUAUUGGGAUAUGGGUGUUUGCUAUACAGGGUUGUUAUUCUAGCAUUUUAUAAUAAAUGCAUUUGAAGCAGUUUGUCCGUCACAGGAUCCAGCACAUCUGAGUUUGCACAAUCACUCUCCCCUCUAGGCACCAUUCACGGCAACUCCCAUUAUAAUUAUGGCAACCAGAGUGCAGCUUGCUGUGCCUAGCUCCGGAGGGAAAGUCGGCUGGUGAGAUGGAUCAGAUGUUUAAUGGCACUAACCUAAGAAAAUCUAAGGUUACAGAAAGUCUUGCUGUUGGGCUUGACAAUGAUAGGCUCUGGUCUCAGUGGGAUGGAAAUACAGCCUGGAAGAAAUAGGAAACUUUAAUAUCUGGAUGGAUUCCUUAAACAGGUAACGGAAACUAUAGCCUGAAAACCAAACUGAUUUUGAUGGACAAGAACCAGAGUUUAAGGGGGAAAUAAUACAAUACAUUCUUAGGGACUAAAGAAGGUGGGGUUUGAAUAUCAAG